rnacentral:rRNA from 1 species
CAGUAGCCGCGGUAAAACGUAGGUCCCGAGCGUUGUCCGGAUUUAUUGGGCGUAAAGCGAGCGCAGGCGGUUAGAUAAGUCUGGAGUUAAAGGCUGUGGCUUAACCAUAGUACGCUUUGGAAACUGUUUAACUUGAGUGCAAGAGGGGAGAGUGGAAUUCCAUGUGUAGCGGUGAAAUGCGUAGAUAUAUGGAGGAACACCGGUGGCGAAAGCGGCUCUCUGGCUUGUAACUGACGCUGAGGCUCGAAAGCGUGGGGAGCAAACAGGAUUAGAUACCCCCGUAGUCCCUGUCUCUUAUACA